rnacentral:rRNA from 1 species
AGCUGGAAUUGCUAGUAAUGGCAGGUCAGCAUACUGCCGUGAAUACGUUCCCGGGCCCUUGUACACACCGCCCGUCACACCAUGAGAGUUGGAAAUACCCGAAGCCUGUGAGCUAACAGUAAUGAGGCAGCAGUCGAAGGUAGAGCCAAUGAUUGGGGUGAAGUCGUAACAAGGUACC